rfam:Dipodomys ordii contig_11498, whole genome shotgun sequence.
GGGAAGGUGGCUCAGUGGUAGAGCACUUGCCUUGCAUGCAUGAGGCCCUGGGUUCUAUUCCUCAGCGCCA